UGCACGGCGGCUCCUUUCAGAAUAAGAGCUGGGUGGGAGGGAGUGAGGCGAGGCGGAGGCCAUCCAGCCACCCCACACUGUGGCGAGUUGCCCGAGUUGCUCGUAGGCGGCCACAGGCGCUUGCCGCUGCUGAGCCUGGACAGGCCCCUCGCUGGUCUAUGCGGUUCUCUUCUGCUUCCCCGCACUGUGGCAGCGCAGUCCCUCGGCUACCUCUGGAAAGCAGAAUUUGGAGCCCUGAGUCAGCAAGGACAACUGAGGCUGCCUCUUCUGAAAACACCAGUGCAAGCUCCCAUCAUAUUUUUUUCAGGAUCCUGAAAGCUUCAAGCUGUAGCACAGAAAUGAUUCUUCGAUGUCAAAGAUUUCUGUGUGAAAUCCAAGGGUUGGGGCAAGGUAGGAAGCCCCUUGUAGUUCAUGUUCACUGCACUCCUGGGAAAGCCCAGAGAAGGCAGCUCUGUCUUUCCUCCAGGUGUAAGAAACCACUGUCUGUAGCCCCUGCACACCACCUGUCUUUACUAUCCUCCUUUUACUGUCAUAGCUCCCCUGGUUCACAGCUCCCCUUUACAGUCAAAGACCAAGGGAUAGAACCUAGGGACAUGAGGUCCCCUGAAAGGAUGGACAAAGACUUUAGUGAGGGCACCGGAUGGGAUGUGCAAAAGGCCCUUGUGGUUUAUUUCUGAAGAAAACUUGUGUCUGCCCCCGAACUAAAGAUUGAAGAGCACUGUACUCAGGAAUGUGUAGCUACUGACAGUCAAAGAGCCAAGAUUUUGAAAACAGGCUCAUUUCAAGCUGAUUAAAUGCAUUUUUUUUCCCUCCAGCAGCUCAUCUAAAAAGUAUUUUCCAAAGAGCUUCUUCUCAGAGAAACGAAAACAUGACUGUGAUAAAAAAGGACCACUUAAAUACAUGCAAGUAUGCAGUAUGCAAGGCGUGAGGUAGCUGCAGCUGUAUCUGUAAGUGUUGACAUCUGGCUCUUCAAGAUUGUCUCAGGACAUUACAGGCUGCAACAUCCUGUCAGUAUCCACAGUGCAAGGGUGCUACUGACUGGGAUGUAUCCAAACACAUUGGACAAUCAUAACCAAAUCAUCCAAGAUAUAUCAGUUGUCUGUUCCAUGUAGACUUCUAUGAACUGUUAUUCCAUUUAUCAUCAGUAGCCCCUACAUUACCUCUGUUGUAUUGUGAGGUUGUAAGAUCCAGGGCUUCAACUGACAGCAGCUGAGGAGCUGAUUGAAUUGUUGCCCUCAUCCCACAGUCUGAACAAGGAGCCUUUUUGAGAGUUGAUUCUGAUCCCCAACACUGAGCUUGCUUCAUCAUGUCCAGACUGGUAUCCUCCAGACUGUGUGAUCACCUUAUUUCAGGCUCCACACCAGAAGCUGGUGCACUUUCUUAACUUUGCCUUUCUGACCUGUGUUCUGGUUUGGCAGUAGACAGCUAUUGCCUUCAAGUGGUUAACCGUGACAGACUCUACACUGGCAUGCCAGCCAUCCACAUAAUAGCCAAAGAAUUCCCUGAGGUGAUACGGUUUGCUUCUGAUUGCUUGACAUCCAUUCUAUACAGAUGGCAAUAUCUUGAACUAGGGAAGCAUCCAGUUGUGCCAAAACACCAAUAGGAGUCAGACCUGCUUGGUGUGAUCCACAGCCAUAGUAAUCAUAAGGGAUAGUAUUCCAGACUAUUACAGUAUUUCAGAUACUAUCUACUAUUACUAACAAUUUGUCAGUUGCUGCUCACCAUUUCAUACUGCAGGCAAGAACCGUUCCUAGAGUCGUGAACCUCUUUUUAUGUAGGUCACCUUCUCCACAUAAACCAGAGCUGUAGGAGUGGCAUGAUUUGUCUGAAAAAAUGAUAAGCCAUUUAAUAGUGCCUGUUAGAAGUUGUGUGAAGCCCAAGCCCUUAGACUAGUGGCAGUGUUAUUUAUUGCCCAAAAGGCAAUAAAUGAUCAAGUAGAGAUAUCUGAGUGUUGCUUAGUCAAAAAGAGUGUUUGAAGGUAAGGUGCCCAGGGAAAACAGCUCGGCGUUAAAGUGCCACCAAUUGAUUUUUAAACAACUCUAGUUUUAGCAGCUAUUUGGGGUUUAUUAAUACUUGCAAGAUAAAUCACAAGGUUAGAUUGUAUGAUUCUAAGUAAUAGUUAAUAAGCACUUAACCAUUAGCCAAUUUGACACAAUCAAAUGCAUUGGCUUACUUAAAGGUUUGAGAAUGGCAAGGUUCAUUUGAAACUUACAGAUAGGGUAUUGGAGAGGAGAUUUCUAAACUCAUUUGCAUGCUUAGGGACCUUCUCUCCUUCAGUGAAAUACUCAUCUUUCCCUUUUGUUGGCUCUCAGCAGAUGAUCUGUCCCAAAAAGGGCUCCACUUCCUUGAGAUCUAUCAGCACCAGCACUACAGGUGAACCUGAAUCUGUGGCCCUGGCAGGAUGAUUAUACUGUAAGAGAGGUGGAGUUGCUACACGAGGCCUAACAGAGGAGUUCCUCUGUCUUUCUUGCUUCAGGUUUGACAAUGAAGUAUCCAGAUCAAUUUGUUUUCCAUGUGUGAGAGGGUCUGCACAUCAGAGAAUAUUUCAUGCAUGCUUCUAGGCUGCUGACCAACCUUCUUUCCAAUGACCUCCGGAAACACACUGUAUUCAAAGCAGCAGAGAAAUUACACAGAACAUCUGAAGGGGGGCACCAACCAGCAGGAGCACUGGAGCAGAACAGAGGGAAAUCAAGUAUAUAAAUAAGUGGUCGGAGGCGUUCUUCAGCACAUCAGCAUGAUGAGAGAAAUGAAAGUCUGCUUUUGCCCGGCUGGGAUUUAAGAGCCCCACAGAAGCCUCGCUGGCCCCAAGACCGGUGUCCUCGCGGAGCUGCAGCAGCUGGGC